rnacentral:rRNA from 1 species
UGGGGAAUAUUGCACAAUGGGGGGAAACCCUGAUGCAGCGACGCCGCGUGAAGGAAGAAGUAUCUCGGUAUGUAAACUUCUAUCAGCAGGGAAGAAAUUGACGGUACCUGACUAAGAAGCCCCGGCUAACUACGUGCCAGCAGCCGCGGUAAUACGUAGGGGGCAAGCGUUAUCCGGAUUUACUGGGUGUAAAGGGAGCGUAGACGGCGUAUCAAGUCUGAUGUGAAAGGCAUGGGCCCAACCUGUGGACUGCAUUGGAAACUGUCGUACUAGAGUGUCGGAGGGGUAAGUGGAAUUCUUAGUGUAGCGGUGAAAUGCGUAGAUAUUAGGAGGAACACCAGUGGCGAAGGCGGCUUACUGGACGAUAACUGACGCUGAGGCUCGAAAGCGUGGGGAGCAAACAGGAUUAGAUACCCUGGUAGU